rnacentral:rRNA from 1 species
UACGUAGGGGGCAAGCGUUGUCCGGAUUUAUUGGGCGUAAAGCGCUCGCAGGUGGUUUGUCGCGUCGUGCGUGAAAGACCCCGGCUCAACUGGGGAGGGUCGUGCGAUACGGGCGAACUGGAGGCCAGUAGGGGGAUGCGGAAUUCCGGGUGUAGUGGUGAAAUGCGUAGAGAUCCGGAGGAACCCCAGAGGCGAAGGCGGCGCUCUGGCUCGCAACUGACGCUCAGACACGACAGCAUGGGGAGCGAACGGG